AGAGUUUGAUCAUGGCUCAGAACGUACGCUGGCGGCACGCCUUAUACAUGCAAGUCGAACGAAGUAGCAAUACUUAGUGGCAGACGGGUGAGUAACAUGUGGGUAUCUUCCCUUUGGUGAGGAAUAACACGAGGAAACUUGUGCUAAUACCUCAUAAGUCUUUACGGAGAAAGCUUUAUGCGCCAAUGGAUGAGCCCGCACUUGAUUAGUUUGUUGGUGGGGUAAUGGCCUACCAAGACUUUGAUCAAUAGCUGAUCUGAGAGGAUGAUCAGCCACAUUGGGACUGAGACACGGCCCAAACUCCUACGGGAGGCAGCAGUAGGGAAUAUUGCACAAUGGAGGAAACUCUGAUGCAGCGAUGCCGCGUGAGUGAAGAAGGCCCUUGGGUUGUAAAGCUCUUUCGUCGGGGAAGAAAAUGACUGUACCCGAAUAAGAAGGUCCGGCUAACUUCGUGCCAGCAGCCGCGGUAAUACGAAGGGACCUAGCGUAGUUCGGAAUUACUGGGCUUAAAGAGUUCGUAGGUGGUUAAAAAAGUUGGUUGUGAAAUCCCGGAGCUUAACUCCGGAACUGCAAUCAAAACUUUUUAGCUAGAGUAUGAUAGAGGAAAGCAGAAUUUCUAGUGUAGAGGUGAAAUUCGUAGAUAUUAGAAAGAAUACCAAUUGCGAAGGCAGCUUUCUGGAUCAUUACUGACACUGAGGAACGAAAGCAUGGGUAGCGAAGAGGAUUAGAUACCCUCGUAGUCCAUGCCGUAAACGAUGUGUGUUAGACGUUGGAAAUUUAUUUUUAGUG
rnacentral:rRNA from 1 species